rnacentral:tRNA from 1 species
GGAGAGCUGGCAGAGUGGUCGAUUGCACCGGUCUUGAAAACCGGCAACCCGCAAGGGUUCCAGGGUUCGAAUCCCUGGCUCUCCACCA